AUUUCAAUAGGUGAUGGGGCUCACCACUAAUAUUGCUUAGCAAUUGAUGGCUCCUACUAAAGU
rnacentral:ncRNA from 1 species